CCUACGGGAGGCAGCAGUGAGGAAUAUUGGUCAAUGGGCGGAAGCCUGAACCAGCCAAGUAGCGUGCAGGAUGACGGCCCUACGGGUUGUAAACUGCUUUUAUACGGGAAUAACGCGCCUUACGUGUAGGUCUUUGCAUGUACCGUAUGAAUAAGGACCGGCUAAUUCCGUGCCAGCAGCCGCGGUAAUACGGAAGGUCCGGGCGUUAUCCGGAUUUAUUGGGUUUAAAGGGAGCGUAGGCCGCAUGUCAAGCGUGCUGUGAAAGGUCCGGGCUCAACCCGGGCCUUGCAGCGCGAACUGGCGUGCUUGAGUCCGCGGAAAGCAGGCGGAAUUCGUCGUGUAGCGGUGAAAUGCUUAGAUAUGACGAAGAACUCCGAUCGCGAAGGCAAGUGGCCGGGGUGCAACUGACGCUGAGGCUCGAAAGUGCGGGUAUCAAACAGGAUUAGAUACCCGAGUAGUC
rnacentral:rRNA from 1 species